rnacentral:miRNA from 1 species
UAUAGUUGGGGAGAGAGAGAGAGAGAGAGAGAGAGAGAGAGAGAGAGCUGAAAAUGGCGAUCCAAAUACCGACUCGGCUGCUAUUCAUCGACGGUGAGUGGAGAGAACCAGUCCUCAAGAAACGCAUACCCAUCAUCAACCCUGCUAGCGAAGAAAUCAUUGGUCUCUUUCUCUCUCUCUCUCUCUCUCUCUCUCUCUCUCUCUCUAUGCAUUUUAUUAAUU